rnacentral:rRNA from 1 species
AGAGUUUGAUCCUGGCUCAGGACGAACGCUGGCGGCGUGCUUAACACAUGCAAGUCGAGCGGAAAGGCCCUUCGGGGUACUCGAGCGGCGAACGGGUGAGUAACACGUGAGUAACCUGCCCCAGACUUUGGGAUAACCCUCGGAAACGGGGGCUAAUACCGGAUAUUACUUCGCAUCGCAUGGUGCUUGGUGGAAAGUUUUUCGGUUUGGGAUGGACUCGCGGCCUAUCAGCUUGUUGGUGAGGUAAUGGCUCACCAAGGCGAGGACGGGUAGCCGGCCUGAGAGGGCGACCGGCCACACUGGGACUGAGACACGGCCCAGACUCCUACGGGAGGCAGCAGUGGGGAAUAUUGCACAAUGGGCGGAAGCCUGAUGCAGCGACGCCGCGUGAGGGAUGACGGCCUUCGGGUUGUAAACCUCUUUCAGCAGGGACGAAGCGCAAGUGACGGUACCUGCAGAAGAAGCGCCGGCCAACUACGUGCCAGCAGCCGCGGUAAGACGUAGGGCGCGAGCGUUGUCCGGAUUUAUUGGGCGUAAAGAGCUCGUAGGCGGCUUGUCGCGUCGACUGUGAAAACUUGGGGCUCAACUCCAAGCUUGCAGUCGAUACGGGCAGGCUAGAGUUCGGUAGGGGAGACUGGAAUUCCUGGUGUAGCGGUGAAAUGCGCAGAUAUCAGGAGGAACACCGGUGGCGAAGGCGGGUCUCUGGGCCGAUACUGACGCUGAGGAGCGAAAGCGUGGGGAGCGAACAGGAUUAGAUACCCUCGUAGUCC